UUGAACGUUGCCAAUGAUGCAUCACAUUUCCAUCUGAUAACAAAUGCAGAAUCUAUUGGAAAUUCGUCACUACCUCUGAGGCAACUGUCAA